rnacentral:rRNA from 1 species
GCCAUCAUUCAUACUACGUCUGGUGCACCGGAUUCCGUCCGAUCUAUAAAUUUAAGCGGCGCAAGGCCCCUUUAGUACUGCGAUAGGUGACUCCAAGUGGAUUCUCUGGGUGAUGCCGAUC